AGUGAACGCUGGCGGUAGGCCUAACACAUGCAAGUCGAACGGCAGCACAGUAAGAGCUUGCUCUUACGGGUGGCGAGUGGCGGACGGGUGAGGAAUACAUCGGAAUCUACUUUUUCGUGGGGGAUAACGUAGGGAAACUUACGCUAAUACCGCAUACGACCUACGGGUGAAAGCAGGGGAUCUUCGGACCUUGCGCGAUUGAAUGAGCCGAUGUCGGAUUAGCUAGUUGGCGGGGUAAAGGCCCACCAAGGCGACGAUCCGUAGCUGGUCUGAGAGGAUGAUCGGCCACACGGGAACUGAGACACGGUCCAGACUCCUACGGGAGGCAGCAGUGGGGAAUAUUGGACAAUGGGCGCAAGCCUGAUCCAGCCAUACCGCGUGGGUGAAGAAGGCCUUCGGGUUGUAAAGCCCUUUUGUUGGGAAAGAAAAGCAGCAGGUUAAUACCCCGCUGUUCUGACGGUACCCAAAGAAUAAGCACCGGCUAACUUCGU
rnacentral:rRNA from 1 species